UGGCCGACUCUUACUCAUCCCUCAAAACCCUUUCCCAAUGAUGUUUACCCAGGCUCUGGGAAGUUGUCUCAACACUGAGGCUGAGUUUUAGCGUCCUUCCCCGGGGUCCCCAGCGGUGACAGCUCCUGGCAGGGAGUGCUAAAGUCCUUUGGCUACUGCCCGAAGAUGACGUCUUGGGACCGUCUCAGCCGCCAGCAGCACCCUCCAAGGAUGAGGAGGCCCCCAGGAACUUUGGCUCCUGAACUGAACUACCACAGUGUCCUGGGUCAGCUCCGAGAGCAGUUCCCCAGGUGAGAGUGGCUCUCAGGGGCCCACGUGGAGGGGGAGAGACUCCCACCUGGUCUCUGGGUGGCCCAGCAGCCCUUGGUCCAAAUGACAGAACUUGGUAACAAAGAGCCUUAUUGGAGCCUGAAGCAAAAGGAAAGAAGCACCAUUACCAACCCG
rnacentral:lncRNA from 1 species